rnacentral:rRNA from 1 species
CCGUCGCUCCACCCGAGUCAAGCUUGGGCGAGGCCCAGACAUGUUGUUUGGGUCGAACCCAUGUUUGGCAAGGGGGGAAAAGUCGUAACAAGGUGGCCGUAGGGGAACCUGCGGCCGGAUCACCUCCU